GGGCUGCCGGCCGCCAGGCUUAGCGUAAGGCGCUUGGAGGAAGGGGACGGUGGGGACGGAGAGCAUGGGGAGUGAGCCUGAUGUCUACACUGCCCAAGCUGCAUGCUUCGUGCAUCGGCCGAAUAUUGCAACUGUUGCUGCAGCCAAGAUGAUCACGUGACCGAGUAGUCCAGGGCAAUGUGACCUAAAAGAAGAGCAGCUGUGAGGAUUGCCCCAGCUCUGCUCUCCCAGUUAAAGGGACAACAGCAGGCAUUGCUGCUUCCCUGCUUCCCGUUCCAGCUGAUGUCCGGAUUCCAUCAGGUCCCCACCUAUGUAAGCCACUACCAUGUGACAGGAUUCUGUCACUCUCCAGCCAAGGCACAUCUGCUUGGACUAUAAUUGUAGGCACGUUUCUUGCUGCUAGAAUGAUUCAACCACUUGGAAAAAUAAACAAGCCCAUAGAAGAGAAGGACUUUGGAAAUCAGCUUCGCCAGCCUAGCAGGCUGACGGCUGGCAGUGGAAGGGGUGGGCUCAGUGUCUUUCAGAAGCUACCCUAGGCCAUAGGGGCUGAAUAUCCCUGACUCACUUGGAACACAUGCAUCACACUGCAAGGCCCGCACUUUCACUGAAACUUGCUUCAUCACUAAAUGGAUAAAUAGAUUAAGUUCCAAAUAAAGCCAAAGGAGGGUUUUCCCGUAUUAGGUCUGAUGUUGGCUGAAACCCUGUAACUGUCUGCACCACACCAUUCCUUUGGAUUGACGCAUCCAUCGAGUAUCAUUGCUGGUUUAAAGAAUCGCAUUACCAAAUCUAAACAGUUCUGAGCAUCAAGUAAUGACUAUUCCGACGCCUAGAAAAUUCAAGAGCCUCCAAAAAAGCUGCAUCAUGAAAACUGGGCCCAGACCAGAGCUCCAAACCACUUACCCGGCUUCAAACGAUACUUUUUUUUUUUUUUUGCAAGUUUUGAGGUGCACAGAAGAGUGGCUGAUGGUAGUGUAAACUUCUGCUGCUUGGGCGUUAAAGCAAGCUUGGCUUCAGUUUAAGGAAGGACAGAGCAGGCAGCAGGCCCUCCAGGAUACAGUGUGUCUUUGGAGCCUCAGGGAAGGCUCACAUUGUAGAGCUUGUCACAGAAGAAAUAGAACUCUUAAAGACACCCGGGGCCCAGGAAAGGAUGAGGAGACUCAGAAAAAAAAAAAAUGACCAGGGCUUCUCCUUGGUCCUCCAUGAGACAUGCAUACUCAGGUAAGGAACAGAGGUAGAGUUCUAAAAAUGCUCACUUUUGAAUUCUGGGCAAUGGAUUAAUUCAACAUUCCCUCGUUCACAACCCAUCAGCAAUCUGUUUUGUACCAGACAUCUCACCAAGUAUUGCUGGCAGAAAAAACCGAUAAUGUCAGGCAUGGAUAUGGUCCUGGCAAGGGAAGAGACUAGUGGAUCUUGACACAGAGUGGGAAGAGGGACAAGAGAAAAUAAGAAAGAAAAUAAGGACUGAAGAUUCCACGUCACAGCACAGUGAGGAGACCAGCCACAUGAUGGUCAGGUCACUGAACUAGAUCUUACCAGGCUGGAGGGUCACUGACGGUGGCACCUACCCUGAUAAAUAGCAGGUUCAGGAAUGGAGCUGCAGGGCUUUGCUUACUGGUCCUAAGAACGAAAUCAGAAUCAUUUCUCUGGCCCUGGAUAGAGACACGACAUUCUAACCACAACAUUUCUAGAUCACACGGUUACUAUCUAGCUUUCUGAUAGAGAACAGUUGCAUUAUUAUUUUCUCCUCUAUUAAGAGAUAAUCCAACUUGGGCAUUAUGGCAUAUUAUGUAAUCUCAGCCUUCAGGAGGCAGAGGCAGAAGGAUUGGAAACUCAAAGUCACCCUUAGCUACAUAGUGGGCUCGGGACUUCCUGGGCUGCCUAACCCCUAUCUCAGAAUAGAUAGAUAGAUAGAUAGAUAGAUAGAUAGAUAGAUAGAUAGAUAGAUAGAUAGAUAGAUAGAAAGAAAGAAAGAAUAUGGUGGAGUUUGCAUCUCUUUUACCUUGUUAGAUUACUUAAGAGCCAACGGACGGGUAGGGCUACACAUGUGCGCAAUCUCGAAGGAGGACAGGCAGUGGCCUGGGAGCCUCGAUGUUCUCAGGGAGAGAGGGAGGAAAGAAGGAAGGAACGAACGAUCGAACGAACGAAGGAAGUCAGUUCAUACAGACAGGCCCGUCAAUGUCCUGGACGUGAAAAACCCUUUGGUAAGAUAUUUGCUCCUGAAACUUCCAGACUGGAGAACUAUCUAAACAGUUAGGUCAGCAUAGAGUUAAUGUGGCUCUCGUCUGCUCCAUGAAACCAAAGUAUUUUCCUGUUUGAUCAUCUCUCUGGCCUUGUCUGCGCUAACCCCAGGAGAGCCUUGCCUUCCUCUGAGCCAUCUCUGGUCACUGUGCUCUGACAGCACCUCCUGUAAUCUCUUCUGCUCACCUUCUACACAACACACUUCGUCUCACCUAAAUUCAGACGAAGACCGUCACAGAGCUGAGAAUCUUAGGUAGAGGCCCGCACACUUACCCAUGGUGAAAACUACCUCCCCUGGAAAGGAGCACAGAGAAUCCCUGACCAGGAACCAAAUGAGCACGGCACACCCAGAGGGAAGUCAGAGCCAGAGAACUGUACCAAGGCCAGUCUGGACCGGGGAGGUGCAGAGGAGGAGUAGAAAGUCAGAACCAGAUGAAUAAGCCACAGUAAGAAGUUUGAAAUCUUAAAAAUGGUCACACGUGCCAUGAAUAGUAUGGUGGAGUUUGCAUCUCUUUUACCUUGUUAGAUUACUUAAGAGCCAACGGACGGGUAGGGCUACACAUGUGCGCAAUCUCGAAGGAGGACGGGCAGUGGCUUGGGAGCCUCGAUGUUCCCAGGAUCAUGCCUGGGGCAAGCUGGCAGUGCAGGAGUUCGUGGGCAGUAGGUUUAUUUUGUAAGCUCCCUUUAUCCAGCACUUGCUACAUGCCAAGCACAGUUGUAGACACACUAUAGGCACUAUCUCAGGCUGGCCUCUCAGCCAUGGACCAAGAGGGAAAACAGUUCAUGCCAGAAAGCAUGAGAGUAGGACUUUCCCACAGAGAAGCUCUUAGAUCCAGGGAUUGUUGAAACAGCCAAAGGCUUAUGAGGCAACCAGAGAUUAGCAAGAACACAAGCUAUGCUCCCAAGGUCUGGACAGACAGAGUCAACUGUGACAAAGGAAGCAAGCUGCCAAGAGGAACCUAAACUACAGAGCCACCACCCAACAAGGGGAGCGGAGCCUGCCUUGCCUUUCUCAACACUCUAAACACCGUCCAGCCUUCCUAUGAGCCAAAAACAAGCUGCUGCGGAGCCUGACCCAUCAUUUCCCCAAUAUACAGUGGACAGCAGGGAAGGAGGCAGAAAAGAUCUGAUCCCAAAUAUGGAAAUGAGGGGACCCAUCCUUCCCACAGCCCCACAAGAUAGGAACUCCUUAUAACUCCAGAUGGGAACACUGAGGCACAGAGUGACAUUCAGGUGAGUGUAGUUAAGUGGCACGAUCCUCGUGUGACUCCGGAACACAUGCCCCUAAGUCUUGCAUAGCCUGGUAGCAAGGGCUGGGAUGCCAUGUCCUUAGCCUGAGAAAACAGAUCCUUUUAUGAAGGCCUCCACCUGAAAGGCACAGAGCACUGUCACUCAGAUGAAGUUAACUGAAGAACUGAAUGGUUCACUGGGAGAUGAGAGCUCCCCACCCCCAACACACAUAUACACUCACACAUGCACACACAUGCAAACACACAUGCAUACAUACACUCACACACAUGCACACUCAAAGCCACAUAUACACACACUCAAGCACACACACAAUUUUAGACACAUGCAUGUUGUGGAUAGCCCUGGUUCUGUUUAUAUGUGGAUGCUAACUCAGCUUCUCCAAGAGGAGCUGCCUGGAAUGAGGAGGGAGGACUCCAUGUGACCCUUCUAAUGAAUAAAGGAACCAAUCACUGGGCAAGUAGGUGGGACUUCGAGAUCUGACAGAGGACAGUGGAAGAAGCGGGAGAGAGAGGGGUUUUUGGAUGGGGACAGCAGGAGCGCAAAAUGUAACUACAAGAGGCCCCCAGAUUAGAUGGUGAAUCCUGGUAGAUUCACCACCAGGGAAUUUAUAUUUAAUAUGGCUUACAAGAUUAGGAUUCUAAUUGUUGCACCCAAAGAUUGAAUUACCAUUGAUUCUGAACUAAGUUUGUGUGAUAUUCUCCUUCACCCAGUGGCUCGACUGGGUUCCAGAGAGAAAGAUACAGCAGCAAAGUGUGGGUUUGCAGGAGGUGCACCCCAAAAGGCCGUGGGAAUUUUGAAGCAUGGGGUUGGGGUGGUAGCGACCCACCAGUGGGAACUUGGGGAGCUGGGUAGAAAGAUUUUGGAGCUCUGAGUCAGAGAAGCUCCACAAGAUGAGAACAGGCCAGCCAUGCCCACCAGUGCCUGGCCAGCCAGCCCACCAGAGCCUGCCGGCUUAGCGUGAAUUGCAUCCUUUUUAAUAUUUCACACUACACAUGCACACACAUGCACACCUCUGUAAGCAGAAUGUCUGAGAGUUCUGUGAGGGCUGCAGAGCCUCUUCUACCUCUGCCUCUGCUUUAACCCUCUCUGACCCAGUUCACCCACAUGGAAUGUUGAUUAGCUGGGUUCAUUUACUGUUUAUAUCAUUUGAGAGUGGGAAUGGAACAAUGCAUACAAAAUCAUUAGCACAGAACCUGCCACCAGUGGGACACCCUCAGUGGCAGCCAUGGUUAUGUCUAGCUGAGAUGUGCUAUGGAUAUACCCAUAGUUCUUUGACAGUCUCAAAAGAUCUCAGGUGUACCUGAGCUUAAACCCCAGAAAAGAUUUUUCCCCUCUAUAAUUUCGAAGGUCACAUAAACCCUUGAAGUUUUUUUUUUCUCUGGGUUAGUCAGGAUGGGCUGAGUUUCAGGGCAGCAGUAAGUGACUCCGGAUUUUAAGACAACAAAGGUUAACUUGGUCACAUGCUUCAUGCUUGUCCACAAAAGUUUCCCCCAGGGCUGUGCUUGUGGAAGUCACUGAGCAAGCCAAGCAGAAGGAAGCCAUGUACUGGCAGACACCUCGCAGAUUGUCAAGAGUAGGGAAAGAUAUAGUGGUGAACUCUGACCUCUUCAUCCACUUAUCAGUUCUGUCCAAAUUUUGCUAGCUACAACAGUCCCACAGAGCAUGUGGGGGUGGGGAAGGAAGGAGCAGCCCGAAUGACCUCCAGAACAACCAGGGACAAUUCUGGUAGGACAGAGAUAAUGCAAAAGACCUUAAUACAGAUGAAGAAAUGCCAGAAGGUCUAAGUAGCCAGGUUGCACACGCUAACAGAGGGCACGUCUUUACCUUGGCUGGGCUCAGAAUUGCACCUCUGAAGAUAACAUGUUGCUUAGGAAAAAAAAUCUUUUGUUCCUAAAUAUCGCUUAAGACUGGAUCUCUGAAACUUGCCACUGUGCUUGAAAGACGCUUGGUAAGGUGUUUGGUGAAAGUCAGGCGCUUGUGGGAAUGGAAGGGAAGAAAGCAUUCUGUCCCCCAGAAGGAUCCUAGUAGACCAGAACACCUUCAAAGGAACCGUUCUACUCUUGUAUGAGUUACGGUGAUUUAUGGAACAACUUGAAGCCCAGGGUAAAGGCUCAGCUUGACCUGACAACCCAGACCCUCCUAGCUUCCUCUCUAGCCACUGGAUGUACUUCUCUGGAUAUCUUCUGUCGGCUCAGUUCUUUAAUUCUACCCCACACACUGAACUUACCCGACCAGGAACUUAGGCAUCCAGCUAAGUUUCUUCCCAUAACCAACACAACCUGAAAUCCCACCAGAGAUGCCUCCUGACAUACCCAGAACACAUUAUUCACCCUUCCUCCUGCUCUAGCCUAACCAUCCACCAUGUGUCUGGGAGGCCAACAGCUUAGACCUGGAUCCCCAGUCUAGAUCUGCCACUCUCUGCCUUCCUAAGCAUCCCUCUUCACAUCAUGCAGAACAAAGAAGACACACAGGCUAUGUCAGACAAGCAUCUCUCCUCAUCCCUAUUCCGUCUGACUACCAUGUAUUCCAUUGUCACCUAUGCACUAGUGGCUGAAACGUAUUCUCCACUGCCUGUCAAUGUUUGCCUUUACCGAACUCCCUAACUCACUAUCCUCAGUUUCUUCUCAUCCUUUCUCUGAAAUUGCUGCCCUGGCCUCUUCUAGUGUUUGAAUGAGAAAUGGCCCCAUGGUCUUGGGUGUUUGCACUCUUGGUUCCCAAUGGGUGGUGUCGUUUUGAAGGGGUUUAGACAGUGCAGCCUUGCUGGAGGAAGUCCAUCAGCUGUAAAGCCUUACAACCGUUCCAGUUUGCUCAUUUAGCUUCAAGGCUGUGGUUGGUGAUGUGAGCUCUCAACCUCCUGCUCCAGCUGCCAUUCUUCCCUCCAUGAGAGCCUCGACCCCCUCUGGAAUCAUAUUCCCAAAUAAACCCUUGCUUCCGUGGGUUGCCUUGGCUAUGAUGCUUUAUUGAAACAACAGAAAAUAACUAAUAAAACAUCUCCCAGUUCCUCAAGAAGGAUACAUGUGCCCCUCCUGAGCACUCUGCUCCUUCUCACAAUGGAGGAAGAUGGCCGUGGACUUCCUGCCUACCUCACAUCCCUACCAGCAUCUGGAGGCAAUACAAGUAAAAAAGAGACUAGGUGUUAGGUCCAGAUGUGAGCAUUACACACGGUGAGUGUGAAGACGUGGACUGUCUUAGUGAUGAACAAAGCCAACGCGAAGACGGGAUCUAAACACUUCUGCCCAACGAUCAUGAAAGGACUUUUCAAAUACUUACAGAAAGAACGGGAAGUGGCCAGAGAUGGUCUUGUCUUUACCCUCCCUCUCCCAGCUUCAGCCUUUGUCAAAGGAGAGAGCUUUCACAGAAAGGAAAGUCAGAACUACUUUGCAUAUUUCUCUGUUCCUAACGACUUCAAAGAAAACUAGGACUUCUUCACUCACUCAGCCUCAUUAGGAAGAAGAUUGACCAAAUUUAAUCAACACUCACUUUUUUAGCAUACUUUUGAGAAAACACGGUUUUAUUGCUUUCAAAGGCAGAAAAGCUCAAAGAUUUUUUUUUCUUUUGGGAAAUGUAUUUGCUUUGCUAUUAAAAACAUGCUCUGUGCAACUGUCUUUGGCUUUUAAGUUUCAAAUUCCCAAAGAAAUAGUUUCCAAAGUAAUGAGUUAGUCAUUACUUUUGUCACUCAAGGUGAAGAAUAUGCCCAUCUCAUUACACAAAUCUGAUAUAUAGGAAAAUGUGAAUACAAAGUCAAAGCACAGUGUGGUUCUACGCAGAUCCAGUCCAGCUGUCACUCAGCAUUAAAAAGUCAUCUCCCAACAGAGAAGCAGAGACUGGUGAAUGGGUUUUCCAUUAUCCAACAUCACAAGUGAGGUCAAGCUGCAACUCCCAACUUGUCUCUCAGGGCAAAGACUACGUCCACCACAUUGCACAUUGAUUUCUGUCCAUGAUGAUACAAUGUGUCUUUAUCAAUGACACUACAGUGACUAUAUCGAAAGGCUCUCCCAGUUCUGUUCAUGU
rnacentral:lncRNA from 1 species